AUGUAUAUGUCUGGACUUUUUUUUUUCUCUCUCUUUUCUUUCUUACUUUCUUUCUUAUUUCCACUCUGUUUCCCCUUCAGAAAUUUUAUUCCAGGAAUGCAAAGGCAGAGAUAAACACAAGCAAGUGCCUUUGCCUGUCAAGACUUGGGAAAUAUUGCUGCUGAAAGAUCAGCCGUCAGCCGCGAAUAUACAGCUGCCAAGUCCCACCGCAGAGGUGACUAUAUUUUUGAACAGGGCUGAAUCCAGUUCUGCUUCAUUGGUAUCGGUACCCAAAGCCUUCCUGGACUGA
rnacentral:lncRNA from 1 species